rnacentral:lncRNA from 10 species
CUUUAUGGAGUCUGAAUUUCUGGCCUAUAUUAUUUUCUGUCUCCAUGUACUUACUGGCACAAAUAGGGCAGCCUCCAGGGCUCCAGAGGAGAGCUGCUCAUAUUCAUCUGACACCAUGUGGCCACAGAGUAGAAACUCAUCCACUUUUGCCUUCUUCCAACCCAGGUCAAAGAGGCGAAUCUUGGCAUUAGGGAAACCUUGGCAGAAGUAAGAAUGGGUCCUUUGGAAGAUGAGGAUGAAGCUCUUGUGAAUGGAAUUCGUGACCUUAUAGAAGAAGCCCAAGAGAGCUGCCUUGUCCUUUUUACCACGUGAGGACACAGCAAGAAGGUGCCGUCUGUGAACCAGGAAGCAAGCUCUCACUAGAUUUGGAAUCUGCCGAUGCCUCCGUCUUGGACUUCCCAGCCUCUGGGACAGGGAAGGAGUGACAGCUUCCAAACUGUUGAUCUGUCAGUGCUGAAACCAGCAGGUCCCUUCAGCGAGGGCCAAAUGAGCGGAACUCUCCAGGAUACGUCUGAUUUAUAUGAUGCCCUCUCUGGGUCAGCAGCUUCAGUCAUGAAAACCUGCAAAACUGAAGCGCCCUUUGGCCAGCUGCUGGUUCUGCGACAUCACAGGGAGUCUGGCAUCCACACACCAAUUCUAGGUCAUUUCGCAGGAAUAAUGCCUGUGUGGAAUCCUCUUUGAAAAACACUGGCUUCAAUUCCUGGGAUACCAUGGCGAAGUUCAAUGUAUACCUACAUGCUCCCCAGCCAGGGAGGUUGUGACUCUGCAGGGUUGUGAGGCUCAGGCUGGGGCCAGUGCCUGCUCACCUUCCUCUUGGUUCCCUAAGAAGCCUCCCGUCAACCUGCAGCCUGAUGUGGGAAUGGCACUGACCAAUGGCUGGAUGGGGAGGAAGAAAUGGUGGCUGUCCUCAUGGAGGACUCAGUGUGGAGUUGGAGGUGUCAGGAGAGGGGUCCUCGGCAAGGGAUUCCAUGACUCCCAUGGCACAGCGUCUUCUCCUGCACACGGCUUCUUGUCAGCACACGUCUAAUGCCUCCUUGUUUCCAAAGUACCUUGUAUAGUGUCUGUUAUGGUGUAAGCAUUUAGCAAAUGUUCAAUGAAAGAAUAGAAAUCAUAUCUUGGAAUUUUGAGAAAUACUGUCUUGGGAACGAUAGUGAGCAGAUAGUAUAAUUAAAACCAGAUGCCAAGGAGAUUUUCUAACUGUCUCAGGGCAUGACAUUCCCAUCAUUUAUUUGGUAAAAAUUACUCUCUGCUCCAUCUUGAAGCCAGCUCUUUCCUGGCACUGGAAACGCAAUCUAAAUAGCGUUUAAUUCCAGGGAAGCUUUUAUCAAUUCCUGCUCAUGUUCCAACUUGACUUCAGGCCAACCUGGAUUGGCCCAAUUUGCUGCAAGUCUGUCUCGGCUCAAGGCAGCCUCGUGGGGCAGUUGGGAUUCUUGCUGCCUUCACAAGCCACAGCCAGAACAUGGAAUAGGCAACCUCACAGCACCGUUUUGAUGUGAGCUGCUGGAUACCAGACCAGGCUCCUUCCCUUGUGUCUGCUUUACCUGUAGGUCUACCUCCAAGGGUGGAGGCUGGGACCCUACUUGGAAGGCAGGAACACCUGUCCAGCUGGGAGAGGAUGAUGGUGGGGCCAGGCUCUGGCAGCUGAGGUGGAGAGAAGGAAACUGACUUGGGAUAUUUUCAGGGAAAGAGCACCAGGACCUGCUGAUAUUGGACAUGAUGGUGAGGGGAGAAGGCAGAGAAGGACCAGGACCUGCUGAUAUUGGAGGUGAUGGUAAGAGGAGAAGGCAGAGAAGGUGCAGGCAAGUGAGGAACCACAGAUCUCUGUUGGGCUGGGCCAGCUGGAUAGCCAUGGCUGCCGUGCACAGCUUUAUCACUGGAACUGCAAGGGAGGAGAGGAUCUUUCAUAAAAGGGGGCAGCUCCCUGGGCUAUAAAAGGCAAGGCUGCCAGGGUGAGCACAGGAGAGGCAAUCAGGUGGGUUUGGGGUGAAAAGGGAGGCAGCUGCUGUUUUCUCGGGAAGGGUGAGAUGUUGCUGGGCUGAGGAGGUCAGGGAGGGUGUGAAAUAGCUUUUCUGCACAAAGGAGAGGGAAACGUUUAACAAAUACAUUAGGAUUGCUGGGGGUUUCGCCUGCCUGUUUGAGGACUCGUGAGUCCAGCCAGCGCAGUAGCGUGUGUCACUGUGAGCACAUUCAGCAGUUGGGGAGGGGCAGGGCAGAAGGAGAAAGGGGCUUUAGUGGGUCUGAGGAAAUGGGAGGUGGGACAGGGACUCAUUAGAGGGUUUCUAAUGAUGGUCCUGGAGUCUAAUUGAAGCAAAGGGCGAAGCAGGACAUAAGGGAGAGACAGGUCUGGAAAAAGUGGUUGAUGGUCAAUUGAUGCCACACCAAAAUGAAAAGAGCUUGAUUUUGGCCAUGAAGAUGAUGAAAUGGGGGCAUUACAAGAAGGAUGUGGGGAGAGAGGUGGUGAGCUGAGGCUGACAGGCUCUUGCAAUUCUGAAGACAAGAUUGCCCAAGAUAUGAUGUAGGAGGGCAUGGGGGUAAGGAAGACAUGGCAGGUGGGGAGAGGAGAGGCCGGUCCUCGGGGAUGCUGAUGUCAGGGAGGACGAUGAAGGCAGACAUGAGGCCAAGGUGGGAAGGUGGGUUCAUGUCUUUAACAAAUGCGGGAGGCAACCAGGCUCUCAGAGGAUGACAGCAGAUGACACCACACACAAUCAGAGGGGCUGGGGUUUUUGAGCUAGGAAGAAAAUCGCAAAAGUAUCAAGGAACACUGGUCUGAAUCCCAGGCCUGUGCUGCAGGCAUGUGAGUGAAAUUGUCCCAAAUGGACAGGACACGGGGUGGAGGCGUUCUCAGCUGGAUCUCAAAGCAGAAGAAAGUGAGACUAUCCAGAGAGGAAGUUGCGAUACAGGAGGUUUAGACAGGAGGCAGUGAUUAGGGAGGGCACAGCAGGAGGGAUUUUCAUGCAGCAGGAGUGUGGGAAGCACCCUGCCAUCUCAGUUGGGAUCUCUAGCUUGCUAUAUUCUAAGAGUAGGGGUGAAACAGAUGUAGCCUGAGCUUUACAGAGAUGGCAGCUCAUUCUUUGAACAUCUCAGUCCAUGUUUGGAUUAAAGUGAUCUGUUGGCUCCAUUUAUCUAAAAGAGGAUACAGAACUCUCCUCAGAGGAAGGCAGUAGCAGCCAGAGUCUCAGGAACUUUAAUGGGCAUUGUUCAGCUUUCAACAGAAAGGAAGCAUGCAUAUGAGACAGGGCAAAGGGAACAAACAGAAAUCAAACUCAGACCCACAGAUGACCCAGAUAUCAGAGAUGGUUGACACUGUUGUUAAAAUAAUUGUGAUUAACACGUUAAAGUAUUAUUUGAAGAAAUACUUUAAAUAAGUAUUUAAAGUGAAAUCCACAAAAAAGAAUCCAAUGGGAUGGUGGGCAAAGGCAGGAUAACAACUUCCCAAAGGUGCCCAUGUCCUGGCACUCAGAACGUGUGAAUGGGCUAUGUCACAUGGCGAGAGGUACUUAAGAUUGCAGAUGGAAGAAAAACUGCUAACAAGCUGAUCACAACUUAAGGACAUUAUCCUUAAUUUAGGUAAUUACACAGUUCCUUAAAUGUGGAGGAGGGAGAAAGAAGAAUUACUGUCAGAGUGAUGUGAUAUAAGAAAUACUUGAACGGCUAUUAUUAGCUUUGAAGAUAGAACUGGUUCAUGAGCCAAAUAAUGCAGGCAGGCUAUUAAAGCCAAAAAAUGCAGCAAAUCCAAGUCUCUCCUAGAGACUGUAGACACAAACAUAUCCCUGCCAAUACCUUGAUUUUAGCCCCGUCAGAUCCACUUUGGACUUUUCUCCUCAAGUAUAUAAGAUAAUAAAUUUGUGUUGUUUUAAGCUGCUAAGUUUGGGGAAAUUUGGAGUAACAGCAAUUCAAAAAAAUACAGAUUUUGGUACUUGAAGGUGUGGUUCUGCCAUAACAAAGGACUAAAAAUGUGAAAUGGGUAAUCCCAGCACUUUGGGAGGCUGAGGCGGGUGGAUCACAAGGUCAGGAGAUUGAGGCCAGCCUGGCCAACAUGGUGAAACGCUGUCUCUACUAAAAAUACAAAAAAUUAGCCAGGCGUGGUGGUGGGUGACUAUAGUCCCAGCUACUCGGGAGGCUGAGGCAGGAGAAUCUCUUGAACCCGGGAGGUGGAGCUUGCAGUGAGCCGAGAUUGCACCACUUCACUCCAGCCUGGGCAAGAGAGCCAGACUCCAUCUCAAAAAAAAAAAAAAAAAAAAAGUGAAAUGGCUCUGGAAUUGGACAGUAGGGAAAGGCUGGAGGAAUGUUGAGGACAUGAUAGAAAAAGCUGAGAUUUCCUUGGACAGUCUGUUGUAGAAACAUGGAUGCUAAGGGUGACCUUAGUCAAGUCUCAAAAAGAAAUGAGCAUGGUAGAGAAAGCCCUUAUCGUUCUAGAGGAGAAGAAAUCACCAUGCAUACCAAGUAGGUAGAAAUAUGGACAUUGAAGGCGUGGCUGGGGAGAACUCACAAGGACAUGAGAAGGACAUUAAGGAAUAUAAGGAAAGGCCGCCUUUGUCAAAUAGCAGCAGGGAGCUUAGCUGAAUUGUGUUCUGCAAUUGUGUGGAGAGCAAAACGUUGGACAAUGAACUUAGAUAUUUAACUGAAGAGGUUUCCAAGUAAAGUGUUGAUGGUGCAGUCGUUUUUGUUUGUUUUUUUUUCUUGCUACUUACACUAAAAUGUGAAAGGAAAAAGGAUUGAUUGAAGCAAGGGCUGUUAAGCAAAAAGGAACCAAGACUUGCUGUUUUGCGGACUUCUCAGGCUACUGAGAUUGCAAAUCGUGCUUAAAUUAAGAGAUUCAGGAAAUGUCAGAACAGCCCUCUCUGCCAAGAGCCACAGGUGUGGCUGAAUAAAAUUUGUGCUAGUGGCUUUCAGGAAUCAAAGGUCAGAGUAUUUGGUUACACUGGAGGCUCUUCGAAGAGAUUAGGCAUGUGACUCCCGGAUUCCCCUCAGCCAUCUCAGCCAAAGCCAGAAAUAGAGAUGAUUAUCUGGGGAAGAUCUGCAGAGGAGCCCAUUGUCUAAUGGAGUUAAUCCCCAUGGAGAGCUACAAGGGCCUUAAAAAUAUUCUACUGGCAGGAAAGCUGCCUGCCAGCUUGUACCAAAGGGUCAAAAGAAAGAAGGCUAUUGGACCCCAAAGAUUCCACAGGCAUAAAACUAGCUCUAAGUGCUACCCGGCUGCAAACAUAUGCUUCCUUUUGUUUAAAAAGAAGGAUGGUUUCUGAGGGUGAAGCUGCAUGCCCAGAGGACAAAGUUGUGAGUCACGGAAAUCAUUCCCAUGCCGUUUGAAACUCAAAUGGAGUUCUUGGAUUGCAAAAUUGCUUGGGACCAGGGACUUCUGUCUUCCUUUCCAUUUUUUUUUCCUUUUUGAAUGGAAAUAUCUAUAGCUGUGACUCUAUCCUUGUCUCACUAUUUUAUUUAGAGCACAAGAACAUGUUUCUUGACUUUCACAGAUCAGGAAUAAUUUUGACACAAGAUGGGUGUAUGCAGACCUUCAUCUUAAAUGUUAAAUUUUUUAUAUGCAAGGAUUUAGGACUUGUGCACUGAUGAGAUUUAGAUACAAUUUUGAACUUUGAGUUAAUGCUGUAAUGAGAUGAGGCUUUGGUGAUCCUAAGAUAGAAUAGACGUGUUUUCCCGGUGGAACACAUGUGAAUCUUUAGAGGCCAGAGGGCAGAUUGUGUCAGGCAGGACAGUGCCUCCCUCCUGCAAAAGAUGCCCACAUUCAAUCCAUGAAUAUGUGAUGUUACAUUUAAAAAAUC